AUGGACGAAUACAACGAGAAUAUUGCCAAGGCUAUUAUUGCAUCAAGGGCAAGACUUAUUACCGAUGCUGAGCGCAAAGUUGAAUAUAUGCUCAUGGAAUUAUGGAUCCAUUUAUCAAGGAUGACUCUACUUGAUGUCGCCGCAUACCAGCAGAAGAUAAAGCUCAGCCAUAGGCUGGAAGACUGGGGCUAUAUAGAUUGCUUUCUAAAACCAAUGCAGAUCACCCUGCUGAAGAAGGAGAGGAAGUUAGAAAUCAGUUUUCAGUUUUACAGGUGCAAACUCAACUCAUUCCACUGUAAUACUGGACAUCCAGAUGUCCAGGAUGUCGGAAGCAUCGGCGUUGCAUUCAUGAAUCUGACAUACACAUGUGAUGUUCGCUCCGGUUCCUCCUCUACCCAGCAGUAUGGGUAA
rnacentral:rRNA from 1 species